AAUGAACGCUGGCGGCAUGCCUUACACAUGCAAGUCGAACGGCAGCAUGACCUAGCUUGCUAGGUUGAUGGCGAGUGGCGAACGGGUGAGUAAUGCAUCGGAACGUGCCUUUUAGUGGGGGAUAACGUAGCGAAAGUUACGCUAAUACCGCAUAUUCUCUGAGGAGGAAAGCAGGGGACCUUCGGGCCUUGCGCUAGAAGAGCGGCCGAUGUCGGAUUAGCUAGUUGGUGAGGUAAAGGCUCACCAAGGCAACGAUCCGUAGCGGGUCUGAGAGGAUGAUCCGCCACACUGGGACUGGGACACGGCCCAGACUCCUACGGGAGGCAGCAGUGGGGAAUUUUGGACAAUGGGCGCAAGCCUGAUCCAGCCAUGCCGCGUGAGUGAAGAAGGCCUUCGGGUUGUAAAGCUCUUUCGGCUGGGAAGAAAUCGCACCCUCUAAUACAGGGUGUGGAUGACGGUACCAGCAUAAGAAGCACCGGCUAACUACGUG
rnacentral:rRNA from 1 species